rnacentral:miRNA from 1 species
CCCAAACCCAUGAUUCUCC